AACGAACGCUGGCGGCAGGCCUAACACAUGCAAGUCGAACGCCGUAGCAAUACGGAGUGGCAGACGGGUGAGUAACACGUGGGAACAUACCCUUCGGUUCGGGAUAACUCAGGGAAACUUGAGCUAAUACCGGAUACGUCCGCGAGGAGAAAGAUUCAUCGCCGGAGGAUUGGCCCGCGUCUGAUUAGCUUGUUGGUGAGGUAAUGGCUCACCAAGGCGACGAUCAGUAGCUGGUCUGAGAGGAUGAUCAGCCACAUUGGGACUGAGACACGGCCCAAACUCCUACGGGAGGCAGCAGUGGGGAAUAUUGGACAAUGGGCGCAAGCCUGAUCCAGCCAUGCCGCGUGAGUGAUGAAGGCCCUAGGGUUGUAAAGCUCUUUUACCCGGGAAGAUAAUGACUGUACCGGGAGAAUAAGCCCCGGCUAACUUCGUGCCAGCAGCCGCUGUAAC
rnacentral:rRNA from 1 species